UCACAGCCCACCUCGCAGCAAGCCGCCAUUGAGAUGCCUUCUCCCUCCCCCAGGCUUGUGCACAUCUCCCAAGGGCUGCACAGGCCCUCCACAGCCACCCCCAUGGCCUCAAUUCACCAAAAUGUCUCAACAUGAGCUUCAAGAGGACGUGGCAAACCCUGCUUCGUAAUUGCUGGGAGAAUGUCUCUCAUCUCUUUAUUUUUAAUGACUUCUGAGAUGGGACUGGAGGCACAGCGCAACUUACCAUUCGUUUCAGAGCAUGACAAAAAUGUCAGCAUUUGAAUUUACCAUAAAAGAGCCAUUUUCUGCAAGAUAGAAAUUUCUGUGGGUUGGUCUCAUUAAAGAAAUGAAGCUCAGUUACUGAAUAGAGUAAAAAAGGACACAGAACAAUAUUCAAGAGCCGUUGGGGAUUUGGGACAAGUGGCACAUAAGAAGAGUCAGCCCUGAUUACAGGCUGAGGCAUACAGCCAUGCAGAAUACUCUCUUGCAGAGUCAGUACUGCAAUCUGUGGAUGUUCCUGAGGCCAGCCUACACAUCAGAACAGCAAAAAUGGUCAAUCUGGCUUGGUUAUCAGCAUGAUUUCCUCUCUCGGGGAGCUGUGCUUAGUUAAUCUUGGGAAAAAGACAAUCUU